CAUACGUUUUACCUGUCGCGCGCCAUGGAUCUCCUCUGCACCGCCUACGGCGGCGGUGCCGCCUCCGACGACGACGACGACGACGAUUGCCGCUCUAGCGGCGGCAGCGAUCGGAAACAGCUCGGAGCUCCGCCUUCGAAACGGCGUCGAUCGGAAGGCUUCGUCGGGAGCCAUCGGCCCCCUCCGCCGCGGCCGGCGGAGGCGGCGGUGGCGGCGCCGCCACUCGUCGCCGGGAGAUACGUCUCGAAGAGGGAGAGGGCGAUCCUUGCGGCGGGGUCUUCUAGGGUUUCUUAUCCGGCGCCUUCUCCUACUACUACUAUCCCUUCCGCGGCGAUCCCCUCUCCUGUUGUCGGAACCAUUUCUGAUUCAGAUCUUCCGGCUGAUGUUCUCACACCUUCGCGGUAUCCAGCAAAGAAUGCCUCAAGCAAUAAAUCGCCUACAAAGCUAUCUGUUUCCUUAGUCGGUCACACUAAAGCUGUCAAUUCUGUACAGUGGUCGCAGAGUCAUGGCCAUCUUCUUGCUUCUGCCGGAAUGGAUCAGGCCGUCCACAUAUGGAAUGUAUGGAAUACAAAACAACCGAAAGCACGCAUUUUCAAGUAUCACAAGGCAGCGGUGAAAGAUGUUAGAUGGACCCCAAACGGGCUUUCAUUGCUCUCUUGUGGAUUCGAUUGUUCAUCGCGGGUUGUUGAUGUUGAGAAGGGGGAAGAAACAAAUAUCUUUAAAGAGGAUCAAGUUGUGGAGGUGAUUAAGUUUCAUCCAAAUGACCCUAAUUUAUUCUUGUCCGGUGGGUCAAAAGGGUUUCUUAGACUCUGGGAUAUUAGGAUGGGGAAGAUGGUAAAAGAAUAUCAGAGAUCUCUUGGGGCGAUACUUGAUAUUGAAUUUAGUGCUGAUGGGAAACAUUUCAUCUCUUCAAGCGACACAUCUAAAAGUAACAUCAGUGAAAAUUGCAUCAUUAUUUGGGAUGUAGUACGGCAAGUUCCUUUAUCCAACCAGGUAUACACAGAGGCGUACACAUGUCCUUGUGUAAGAUACCACCCAACCGAUGCUUCCUUUGUCGCACAAUCAAAUGGUAAUUACAUCGCAAUUUUCUCAGCCAGGCCGCCCUUCAAGUUGGACAGGUACAGGAGGUACGAAGGGCAUGGAGUAUGGGGCUUCCCUAUAAAGUGUAAUUUCUCGUUGGAUGGAAGAGAACUCACUUCUGGGUCCUCCGACGGCUCUAUAUACUUAUACGACUACAAAACGGCCAGGCUCUUGAGGAAACUAAAGGCUUUCAAUGAAGCUUGCAUCGAUGUGGUGUAUCAUCCUGUGAAGCCCAAUGUGAUUGCCUCAUGCAGCUGGAAUGGCGAAGUAUCCGUAUUUGAAUGAGAGUUAUCUUGCAUCUUUCUUCUUUGAAGAAUCCCAUGCAUUAUUUGUAGAAAAUGGCUUGCCGACUGGGAUUAGCUGAACCAUUUUCUGUAAAAAUCUCAUGGACUUCACCGGCGAUGAUCAGUUAUUUAUCAUACUCUUGUUGAGAGGAGAAGUAACGACGAUUGUUACUUUGCAAAAGGGCAAUUCUGGUGGGACUGUAUGAAGUUAUCUCUGUACUUUGAUCUAUGAUUCAAUGAAGAUGCGCCCGGGAAAGCAGCGAAGGACUGCAUCGCCUAAGGGAAGCAACACGUUUACAGGAGGUCCAGGGAUUUCGAGAGGAUCUUUUUGCAGCAUAAUAAAGGCCCUGUUUGGUCUGGCUAUUUACUGUGGCGCGGCUAACCAAUUUAUCUAUGGAUCAUUUGCAUAUUGU